rnacentral:rRNA from 1 species
CUACGGGCUGCAGCAGUGAGGAAUAUUGCACAAUGGGGGGAACCCUGAUGCAGCAACGCCGCGUGGAGGAUGACGCAUUUCGGUGUGUAAACUCCUUUUAUAUGUCAAGAAAAUGACGGUAGCAUAUGAAUAAGCACCGGCUAACUCCGUGCCAGCAGCCGCGGUAAUACGGAGGGUGCAAGCGUUACUCGGAAUCACUGGGCGUAAAGGACGCGUGGGCGGGUUGGAAAGUCAGGUGUGAAAUCCUACAGCUUAACUGUAGAACUGCACUUGAAACUUCUAAUCUAGAGUAUGGGAGGGGGAGAUGGAAUUAGUGGUGUAGGGGUAAAAUCCGUAGAUAUCACUAGGAAUACCUAAAGCGAAGGCGAUCUCCUGGAACAUUACUGACGCUAAGGCGUGAAAGCGUGGGGAGCAAACAGGAUUAGAUACCCGGGUAGUC